CCCGAAUAGCCAAAGCAAUCUUAAGCAGAAAACAAAUCUGGAGUCAUCACAUUACCAGACUUCAAACUAUGCUACAAGGUUAUGGUAACCAAAACGGCAUGGUGUUGGCACAAAUAUAGAGACAUAGACCAAAUGGAACAGAACAGAGAAUCAGAUAUGAAACCGUCCACAUACAGCUAGGAAGGGGGAGCAGCAGGUCAGUGGUUGGUGAGUGCAGGCUAGCGAAGCUUCAUCUGUAUGUACUGACACUUCCCAUCACUCGCAUCACCACCUGAGCUCAGCCUCCCCUCACUCCCCCAGUGAAAAAAUUGUCUUCUAUGAAACCUGUCCCUAGUGCCAAGAAGGUUGGGGACCACUGGUUUAAAGGAUAUUUUGGAAGAGUAGUAGCCUGGAUAGAAAAAAGUAUUCAAGAAAUAUUAAAUGAAAAGAUAUGUUGCUAAAUAAUAUACUGGGUGAUACCAUUGGCAUUUCUACUGAGAGACACAUUCUUCCCUAAAGAAUGUCGAAUAACAACAAAAAAGAAAUAAACAAGAUAAUUUGGUUUUCAAUAAGUAGUUACUUGUCUUUGGGCUGCCAGACGUCUCCUUGCCUUGCUUCCAGUCUGACUGCAAGUUUUGGAAUCCAAAUUUAGCUCCUGUCCCCCAGGAGCACCUUUGAGGACCAUAAGUUUCCCGGAAAUCCACACCUUGGAGAGCUGGCCCCCCAGAGUGAAAUGGGCACCCCACUCUCUGUGAAUUUGGAGUCAUAUCUUCCUCCUAAAACUUGCUUGUUCUCCUGAUUUAUUCCCAUUGAUUAGUCUUUCCAGAUAAUUGUUUUUUCCAAGGCCUUAUUUUUGUCUCAGCUGUUAUUUCCGUAGCUUGUACUCCAGCUGGAUUUUUUUUUUUUUUUACUGGUCUCUAUAUUAGUUUCCUAGGGUUGCUGUAACAAAUUACCACAAUCUGGGUGGCUUAAAAAAAACAGAAAUUUAUUCUCUCACAGUUCUGGAGGCAGGAAGUUCGAACUCAAGAUGCCAGCAGGCGUGGUUCCUUCUGGGGGCUCCUGGGAGAACCCCUCCUGUGCCCUCUCCUAGCUUCUAGUGCCUGCCAGCAACCCCCGGCCCUCUGUGGCUUGUAGAUGCAUGGUGACGAUCUCUGGCUCUGUUGUCGUAUAGCAAUCUCCUCUUGGUGUGAGUGUGUGUGUCUUCACAUGUCCUCUCCUCCUCUUAUAAGGACAGCAGCCAUGGGAUUUAGAGCCCACCGUAAUCCAGCAGGACCUCAUCUUAACUAGCAACAUCUGCAAAGACCCAAUUUCCAAAUAAGGUUACAUUUUGAGGUUCUGAGCGGACAUGAAAGUUUGGGGGCCACCCUUCAACCCUCUACAGUCUCUCUGCCUUCAGAUCUUUCCAUCCACCCAUCCAUCCCAUGACCCUCUUGGAGUCAUUUUUCUUAAACCUCGCUCAGCAGGAAUACCUCACCCUUGCCUCCAAACCCUUCAGUGUCCACUGUUGACAGAAUAAAGUCCUGCGCUUAGCUCAGCUUUAGUCUGCUCCCAAUGCCCAAUUUUACAUCCCAUUUCUCCACUCUCCUACACACACCCUCCAAUCCCACGGGAAAGGUCUUCUGCGUUGUUGAAUGUGCCGCAAGCACUCUCAGCAUCUGCCCCGUUCUCUGUCCGUUGCUUAGACGCUCUCCUUCUGGAAUAUGCAUUUCAUAUCUUUCCUUGCUCAUAAGAAUGUUCCCACCCAGCCCAGGUUGAAGGGCCUGCAGACUGACACUACCCCACACUGCUGCACACCAUUCCUCGGUCUGGAGCGAUGCCAUCCUCUCCUGGAGUUUACAUUUUACCCAAGGAUGAGCCAAGGACGACCCUGUGUGCUUUGCUUCUUUGGGUCCUUGGAUUUGACCAUGGUGUUUUGAAUCAUGUGGCGUCAUGGCAAAUGAGUUUGUACGUUGCUGCUGGCGUGAGCAUGCUAGCCGGUUGACUGAGACCUGGCAUGCGUAGGCCUAUCAUGAUUGGGUGCAUUAACUGAAGUACUCCAUGCCACGGUGAAUAAAGCAGAUGAAGAGCCCUGUGGGGACAUGAAGCGAGGGGAAAAGGGAGAAUUGUGGCUGCUUUGAGAGUUAGGGUGGUGGUCUUUCAAAGGAAGAAUGAACUGGCAGAAUCACUGCAGGAGAGGCAUAUCCCUGAGGCUGGAUGCCACGAGGCACUGGGCUCAGUAGGAAAAGUAAUGACAUGUUGGGAGGGAAACCACCGCCCUGUCCUUGUGAGGAUCAACUGGGGAACAACGUGGUUGGCAAGGGAUAGAGACUGGAAGGAAAUAAAAGAGGAGAUACACAGUACAGUGCAGUACAACAGACAGGACAGACAUCAACACCUUUCAUUAUUGGCCUUGACAGAUGCUCUGAAAACUUGAAAGUAACCAGGAAGUUUUUAUUCUCAUGAUUAUUAUUAGUGUCUUUUGCUAGCUCUUCCUAAGUGGCAGUGAUUGGCAUCGGCAACUGGCUCUUCAAAUUAUCUCCCAAAGCACCACGUCUCUAUGGGGACACACGAGGGACUUAGUUCACCUGGAAGCAGAUUUCCUCUACAAUUUCUUGCCUCGGGGACUUUGUGCUUUUUUCUGGGGUUAUGCCUCAGCCACGUCAAAGCCCCAUAGGCAUUCCCUGCUGGGAUCAAGAAGUGGCCCACCCAAGAAACAAGAGCGGAGUUAGAAUCAGGGGUGAGAAUUCCAGGUGGGUGCUGCUCAAGGUGUGGGCUCCGGGCUGAGCCCACCGUCCGACGAGCCACAUUCUGUGUUUGAGGUCCCAGGACGAGUGUUCAGUGUUGGAACCUUUGAAGCCACCAGGGUCUUUCCUUGCUGGGUCUUGGCAAUACUUCUUCAUGUCGUGGGUUUAGAAACUCAGGCUAAAGAAUGGACGUGGGGAAGAUUGCCCACCUGUAAAACUGUUUACGGACAGCCUGUAAUUGUAGCUCUGAUCUCGUCCAUCUGACUCAUAACUCUGCAUAUGCUGUCUUACCUGGCUAGAUUUAAAAAAAAAACCAAAACUUAUAUUGUGGAAACAGGAGACUCUCAAGGCUGUUAAAAAUUGCAGUUUCUUGGACAUUCCAUCCAAAAAGUAUGCCUGUUUGCCUUGGGAGGGGAAAAAUUAAAUUUAUUUGUCAGUAUGUCCUCGGUGCAGCACACUUGUUUUCAGGUCCUAAUGACAAUCCUACUCAGGUCCCCCCUCUCCCCUCCAUCCCCCCCACAAAAAAAAGGAACAACUCAAGCUUGAGUUUGUCCCAUCCAUCUAUAUAAAACAUGUACGUGAGUCUGAGAUGCCAUUGUGAGAAUCAGGAAAGGCAGAGGGGGCACAAGGCAAAGGAUGUAUUUAUUGUUCGUGCUUCUGCUCUUAAGCCGUGGUCUUCUCCAGUGCUCCCUGUGACGGGAGGUGUCCCCCGACCUCUGACAGAAGACAAGCAUGAAGAGCGGAGCACUUCGAAAGAAGUAAAACAAGAAAAGAUCCUUCAGUGGCCCAGCGUCCCAGCUGUGACUAAGAAUUAUUCAUUAGAUUUUUUUUUUAAAAAAAAAUGCCCAAACACGCAUGCACGAGCAGGUGGUCCCCACGGGGAGCCCGCCGCCACUGCUCGGGUGUCUGAUGUCACGAGGUGUGCAGGCAGGCGUGGCCGAUCAACAUCGCCCUUCCUGCCGCCUGCUGUCUGCACAGAGCGAGCCCGGGUCACGCCGACUGCAGCCUCGGUUCUGAAACGUGGAGGAUUCCGGGUCGUGGCUUCUGUGUUUCUUUUUCCAACUAGACAGUGAAUUCCUGGCGGGAAAGGAUGACGUCCCCUUGUCUUUGAGCCCCCAGGGACCGGCUCGGUCCCAGGCACCGUGAGAACGCUCGGAAAACGUUUCGUUGUUUUUGAAUGGUGGUGAUUUAAAAAUGGCAAGGCUUUUCUGCAAAUUAGAGGACGUUACAGUCGUGUGUUUCUUUGGAGCAUACGAGUAUUUGAAAUGAGGCCGCGCCGGGACUGGGAUCCUGACCCCGCAGUGGUGCUGGCGCCGGUGGGCGCUGUGACUCGGAGCCAGAGGAUGAGGAGGAGGAUGAGGAGGAGGAGGAGGAGGAUGAGGAGGAGGAGUGUGGCGAGCAGAGUGCAGCCGACGGAAAUGCUGGUGUGGAUUAGUUCCCUGCGGCUGCUGUAACAAAUUACCACAAGACGAACGGGUUAAAACAACACAAAUUUAUUAUCUUACAGUUCUGGAGGCCAGAAGUCCAAACUGUGUCUCACCGGACUAAAAUCAAAGUGUCGGCGAGGCCACGCUCCCUCACGAGGGUCUAGCCGGGGCAGAACCACCUUCUUGCCUUUGCCGUUUCUAGAGCCCCCUGCCUCCGUUGGCUCCAGGCCCCUUCCUGCAUCUUCAAAGUCAGCAUCUUCAAACUAGUCUCUGACUCUGACCACUUCUCUGCCUUCCUCUCUCACCUGUAAGGGCCCUUGUGGUUACCAAAGGCUCACCCGGGGAACCCGGAUAAUCUCCCAUCUCGAGGUUAAUCUGUGAGCAAGCCAAAUUCCACCUGCAACUUUAAUUCCCCCUUGCCACGUGACAUAACAUAUGCACAGGUUCUAGGGAGCAGGACAUGGACAUCUUUGGUGGGGGCAUUAUUUUGUUUACCCCAGAGGAGCACUCAGGGGCGUCCUCCUUUUAUCCUCAAGGAAACUCAGGCUUAGAGAGUUUAUGUGAAUUCCAACCAUUACCUCCAUAGCAGGAAAGACCUCUGACCCUCUGACUCUGGGCCAUCUCUCCCCAGAGCCCUAAGCAAGGCUCGGUGGGAGGCUGGUGGCUUCCUCUCCCUCCACUUCUUUCUGUGCCUGUGCCCCUGGCUUCCCUGCUGACCCAGGCAGGGUGUCGAGGAGUGUGUCGGGUGGGCAUACUCACCCACAACCAGACGGAGGGGACGGUGGCCGUUGCGUGGUGGUGUCAGAAUGGAUGGGGCCCACCCCCGAGAAGCUUGUCGCUUUGGUGAAGCUGCCAGGUGCCCAGGUGGGGCCGCUGAGUUCAGUGACUGAAGGCCCCAGGAGUCUGAAAUCCUGGAAUUUCUUCUUUGGGAAGCCCAUGAAGGGGAGCUGAGGAGUGAGUCCCAACUGGCUGGUUUGCAGCUAACAGUGCCUUUCGCUGCCUGGGUGCGGCUGCUGCGGUUUCCUCUGUGUGGAUGCUCUGCUACACCAGGGCUGGCCCCCAGCAAAAAUAGAAAGGGGGGGGUGUUGGCUGCUGGGCGUCCUCUGAGGAGACACUGGUGAUUCUGACAUGGAGCCCAGGCGGAAGGCAGGAGGUGACCCAGGAGGCACAGCAAGAGGGCUCCUGCCACGUUCAGGGCCAGCGGGGAAGACACAGGAGGACUUAACUGCACCAGACUUCCACUGGGAAAGGGCAAACCAAGACCCGGGGGAGCAGAUGCCCAGGGGAGGGGAUUGGGUCUCAUCCAUCAAGUCACCUCCUCCCAAGUCACUUCCUUUCACACAGCUGCCCAGUCCCUUUACCCACCGCUGGAAGCUGACAAGAACUGGCCGAACUUGGCCUCUGGCCAAGGAUACAGGGCAGAGAACUUCCUGCUUAGAAAGUUGGAUUCCUCAGAACUCUGAGGUGAAGGCAGUCUUGAGAGGGAGGCGUCGAGGAGGGACAGUUGGGGUCACCGAGGAAGAUGCCCCCAUCUCUGGAGGAGAAUCACCAGCGCAUGUUGUCGGGCACGGAAAAGUCACCUCGGUUUAGCGCCACAGAGUCCCCUGCAUCCCGGCAACCGGCAGGCAAAGAGAGAGCGCUGACCCCCAGGGGGUGAAGGAUGAGAAGCGAACCGAGGUGUCUACCACGCAGCUGCAGACCAGGAGGCAGGGCCCUGCCUCUGCCAAGGAAGAGUCAGUUGAACAGCUUCUGGGAGUUCCGGCUCGGUGCUGCCAGGCCCUGCCGCGGGGCAGGCUGCCGCAGGUAGGCCGCGAAAGGCUCCUGACAGCUUCUGACAGGUACACCCUACAAUGAGAGGACCCAGCAGAAACGGAGGGAGGAGCCGGAGGUCCAACGGCCAGGAAAAUGUCAUCGGAAAGUAGCCAGCACGGCAAUCCCACAGUGGCCUUCCCUCUGAUGUUCUGGUAUUCUCGGGAGCUGAGAAGCUGGCAUUUUAAAAAAGAUCAAGAUUUUAAAGCUGCAAUUGGAUUGUUUUCCGUUUCAUUUGAAAUCCUCCUCACAUCCCCUCGGACGCUGGAGAGCGUCCAUCCCAGCUGUGGUCUUUGCCCUCCAGCCAGCUGUGCGAUGUCAGUCAAGACACUUAUUAUCUGUUAGAUGGAGAAUUGCAAAAAAUACUGUCGCCAUUUCACUGGUUAUUUCUUCCAAUCAAUGGGAAAGUGUGUGCAGAAAUGUUUUGAAAGGAGAGUAUGAAAACUGGCAAAUUGGCCUCCAUGAUAAAUAAUACUUGAUAUCAUAUAUUAUAAAAUUUAAAAUUUCAAUGAACAAGGAAAUCCCUACUGACAGUA